AAUAUUUGAAAAACAUUUUCCCAAUCUAUCCAUGUGGUAUGACAAUCAUACCAAACUUAUGACAAACCUUCAUCUUGAAAAAGAACAAUUGCUCUCUUAUAUAUGGGAAUGAAGGUGACACACAUGUACGAGACAAAUCAAUUGAUACCAAGUGUUAAAGUUUUAUAGCUAUACAACUUAUAACUUUAUAUAGAGUAUAAAAGUAGCCAAUUCAUCUAUUGAAUUGAAAAUUCUUGUAAAAUAAAUAAUGAAGUUUAUAAAAUUUUACGCAAAUUUAAAAUAGAUUUUAAAUAUAUUUUAAUCCUUAUAAUUAAGUCUUCUGAACAAUGAAUAUAUAGUAUUAAUUGAUUGUGUCCACAAUUCCAAGAUGUUGAUUGAAUAGAGCAGGAUAGGAUUUUGCAUUUGACAGGCCGUAGGUUAGAUCACUCAUUUGUUUCCUUAAAGUGAGAUAAAUAUAAGUAUCUCUAUAAGUGUUUUUUUUUAACUUAUAAACUUUUUCUGUCUUAAACCGGGAUCUAUCCCUUUUCCCUAAAUUUCUCUAAAAAAACAAUUGAUUUUGUCCACAUCCACAAACUAUAAAUGGGUUAACUAUGUUUUUUAGUCUCAAUCUUUUCAUCCCUCAACGAUUUUAGUCCUCAUCGCCAAAUCUCUUUGUUAAAUAGUGAUGUGGCUUACAUUUUUUGGCAACUUGAAAAUCGUUAGCAAAUGUUUGGCUAUCAAAGAUUAAAUAAUUUGGCAGCUAACAUCCCCCAUAAAUUGUUUCAAUAGCCUCUUAAGAUUCAUACUUUUGAUUCACUUCCCAUGAGAAUAUCCCAGAUCUAAGCAUGGCUCCAGGAAUGAGAUUCCAAUGAAACCCCUUCAUUGCACAUCUUAAUCAUUGCGAUUAUUGCGUUGUUCAACAUGCCCUUAAUCACCAAGUUGAACUCCGUCUUCUCCUCUUAUGGAGUCAGUUGCUUCAGGGGCGGCCAC
rnacentral:lncRNA from 1 species